rnacentral:rRNA from 1 species
AUUGAACGCUGGCGGCAGGCUUAACACAUGCAAGUCGACCGAGUGGCGGACGGGUGAGUAAUGUCUGGGAAACUGCCUGAUGGAGGGGGAUAACUACUGGAAACGGUAGCUAAUACCGCAUACCAUCAGAUGUGCCCAGAUGGGAUUCGCUAGUGGGUGGGGGAAUGGCUCACCUGGGCGACGAUCCCUAGCUGGUCUGAGAGGAUGACCAGCCACCUUGGAACUGAGACACGGUCCAGACUCCUAAGGGAGGCAGCAGUGGGGAAUAUUGCACAAUGGGCGCAAGCCUGAUGCAGCCAUGCAGCGUGUAUGAAGAAGGCCUGCGGGUUGUAAAGUACUUUCAGCGGGGAGGCGUUACCUGCAGAAGAAGCACCGGCUAACUCCGUGCCAGCAGCCGCGGUAAUUC